ACGAACGCUGGCGGCGUGCUUAACACAUGCCAGUCGAACGGAAAGGCCCUGCUUUUGUGGGGUGCUCGAGUGGCGAACGGGUGAGUAACACGUGAGUAACCUGCCCUUGACUUUGGGAUAACUUCAGGAAACUGGGGCUAAUACCGGAUAGGAGCUCCUGCUGCAUGGUGGGGGUUGGAAAGUUUCGGCGGUCGGGGAUGGACUCGCGGCUUAUCAGCUUGUUGGUGGGGUAGUGGCUUACCAAGGCUUUGACGGGUAGCCGGCCUGAGAGGGUGACCGGCCACAUUGGGACUGAGAUACGGCCCAGACUCCUACGGGAGGCAGCAGUGGGGAAUAUUGCACAAUGGGCGGAAGCCUGAUGCAGCAACGCCGCGUGCGGGAUGACGGCCUUCGGGUUGUAAACCGCUUUCGCCUGUGACGAAGCGUGAGUGACGGUAAUGGGUAAAGAAGCACCGGCUAACUACGUG
rnacentral:rRNA from 1 species